GGCUAGAUAUUUUAAAAAGAAUAUGAGUUUUGUAAACUUAAGGUAAAAAGAUUUUUCUUGCCA
rnacentral:tRNA from 1 species